AGAGUUUGAUCAUGGCUCAGAUUGAACGCUGGCGGCAUGCUUUACACAUGCAAGUCGAACGGCAGCNNNNGGGAACCUGGCGGCGAGUGGCGAACGGGUGAGUAAUAUAUCGGAACGUACCCAGGAGUGGGGGAUAACGUAGCGAAAGUUACGCUAAUACCGCAUACGAUCUACGGAUGAAAGCAGGGGAUCGCAAGACCUUGUGCUCGUGGAGCGGCCGAUAUCUGAUUAGCUAGUUGGUGAGGUAAAGGCUCACCAAGGCGACGAUCAGUAGCUGGUCUGAGAGGACGACCAGCCACACUGGAACUGAGACACGGUCCAGACUCCUACGGGAGGCAGCAGUGGGGAAUUUUGGACAAUGGGCGAAAGCCUGAUCCAGCAAUGCCGCGUGAGUGAAGAAGGCCUUCGGGUUGUAAAGCUCUUUUGUCAGGGAAGAAACGGCUGAGGUUAAUACCUUCGGCUAAUGACGGUACCUGAAGAAUAAGCACCGGCUAACUACGUGCCAGCAGCCGCGGUAAUACGUAGGGUGCAAGCGUUAAUCGGAAUUACUGGGCGUAAAGCGUGCGCAGGCGGUUUUGUAAGUCUGUCGUGAAAGCCCCGGGCUUAACCUGGGAAUUGCGAUGGAGACUGCAAGGCUUGAAUCUGGCAGAGGGGGGUAGAAUUCCACGUGUAGCAGUGAAAUGCGUAGAGAUGUGGAGGAACACCGAUGGCGAAGGCAGCCCCCUGGGUCAAGAUUGACGCUCAUGCACGAAAGCGUGGGGAGCAAACAGGAUUAGAUACCCUAGUAGUCC
rnacentral:rRNA from 1 species